rnacentral:tRNA from 1 species
GCAUUAGUGGUGCAAUGGUUAACAUGUGCUCUUACUAUGACCGCGUUCGGGGUUCAACUCCCCGGUAAUGCA